rnacentral:rRNA from 1 species
GACGAACGCUGGCGGCGUGCUUAAUACAUGCAAGUCAACUUGACUUUAGAUAGCAAUAUCGAAAAGUAGGGUGGCGCACGGGUGCGUAACGCGUAGGUAAUCUGCCCUGAGGUCUGACAUAACCCGUCGAAAGGCGGGCUAACAUCAGAUGAUAUAUAAUCACGACAUCGUGGAAAUAUCAAAUCUUCGGAGCCUUGGGAUGAGCCUGCGUCUGAUUAGGUAGUUGGCGGAGUAAUAGCCCACCAAGCCUACGAUCAGUAGCUGGUCUGAGAGGAUGAUCAGCCACACUGGAACUGAGACACGGUCCAGACUCCUACGGGAGGCAGCAGUAAGGAAUAUUGCUCAAUGGGGGAAACCCUGAAGCAGCAACGCCGCGUGAAGGAUGAAAUACUUUUGUAUGUAAACUUCUGUAAGAUGGGAAAAAUAUUCUCCUCGGGAGAAUUGAUUGUACCAUCAGAGUAAGCCCCGGCUAACUACGU